UCAAUGAUUGUUUGUUUGGUUUGGUUUGG
rnacentral:piRNA from 1 species